rnacentral:rRNA from 1 species
UGGUAAUGCCGGAUGCUCCAUCUCAUCGCAUGGUGUUCUGGGAAAGCCUUUGCGGCAUGGGAUGGGGUCGCGUCCUAUCAGCUUGAUGGCGGGGUAACGGCCCACCAUGGCUUCGACGGGUAGCCGGCCUGAGAGGGCGACCGGCCACAUUGGGACUGAGAUACGGCCCAGACUCCUACGGGAGGCAGCAGUGGGGAAUAUUGCACAAUGGGCGCAAGCCUGAUGCAGCGACGCCGCGUGAGGGAUGGAGGCCUUCGGGUUGUAAACCUCUUUUGUUAGGGAGCAAGGCAUUUUGUGUUGAGUGUACCUUUCGAAUAAGCACCGGCUAACUACGUGCCAGCAGCCGCGGUAAUACGUAGGGUGCAAGCGUUAUCCGGAAUUAUUGGGCGUAAAGGGCUCGUAGGCGGUUCGUCGCGUCCGGUGUGAAAGUCCAUCGCUUAACGGUGGAUCCGCGCCGGGUACGGGCGGGCUUGAGUGCGGUAGGGGAGACUGGAAUUCCCGGUGUAACGGUGGAAUGUGUAGAUA